rnacentral:lncRNA from 1 species
ACACGAGCGAGUUCGGUCCAUCCGUUUUCGACUCAUUACAUAAACAAGCCGAAUACGAGUUGGCUCAUUAAAAUAUCGAAUCGAAAAAUUUAUCUUAUUUUCGACUCGUUAAUUAACAAACUAAACACGAACCGACGAACAACAAGUUGAAAGUAUUAUUUAUAAUAUAUAUAUAAAUAUAGAGAGAGAGAGAGAGAGAGAGAGAGAACUAGACUGGUAUAUUAUCGGUAGUACGGAGGUUUUCGUGUUAGCAAGUUGUUUUCGAUGAUGCGGCUUUCAAAUUAAUGAUCGGCUCCGUUAGACUUGAUCUAUACUAUUUAAAAUAUUUGAAAACUAAAUUUCAUAGUUUUUCGACAUUAUUUGGCUGGUGAUCAAAAGGUUUCAAAAAUGACAAUUUUAAUAGCCGACGUGAUGCAUUUGUGAAUUUAACAGUGUAAAACAAUACAAAUCUGAUGAAUUUUUUAUUAUUUUUUACUAUUUAAAAUAAGAUCAGUAUUUCUAAUUUUAAAUUCAAGUCUUUUAUCAUUAUUUUUUAUGAGAUUUUUAUUUUUAGCCGUUCAUUUUUAGACUACUCGUUUGCCUACUCGUUUGAUAGCGAAAAAUUAUAAAAUUUAGUUUCUAAAUACUUUCAAUAAUGUAGAUCGAGUCUAACGGAACAUAUCCUUAAUUUGGAAGUCGCAUCAUCGAAAACAACUUAGUAGCACGGAGGCUUCCGUGCUACCGAUAGCAUAACCGCCGAACUAUAUAUAUAUAGAGUCCGGCUAUGGUGCUUGUAAAAGCACCAAGCAUUUGGUGGUUGUAAAUUUUUUACCGUUAGAUCUACUCCGUGGAUCAUUUUCAACCGUUAGAUUAUACUAUUCAACCAACCACCCACUAAACCUUAGGGGGCCCACAUCAUCCUAACUGCACAUCCCUUAAUCCAACGGCUAAAAAUCUACAAGCACUAAUGUUUUGGUACUUUUAAAAGCAUAGGAGCU